GACGAACGCUGGCGGCGUGCCUAAUACAUGCAAGUAGAACGCUGAAGGAGGAGCUUGCUUCUCUGGAUGAGUUGCGAACGGGUGAGUAACGCGUAGGUAACCUGCCUGGUAGCGGGGGAUAACUAUUGGAAACGAUAGCUAAUACCGCAUAACAGUAGAUAUCGCAUGAUAUCUACUUGAAAGGUGCAAUUGCAUCACUACCAGAUGGACCUGCGUUGUAUUAGCUAGUUGGUGAGGGAACGGCUCACCAAGGCGACGAUACAUAGCCGCCCUGGGAAGGGGGUCGGCCCACCUGGGAACGGGACACGGCCCAGACCCCUACGGGAGGGAGCAGGAGGGAAUCUUCGGAAAUGGACGGAAGUCUGACCGGGGAACGCCGCGUGGGUGAAGAAGGUUUUCGGAUCGUAAAAAUCUGUUGUUAGGGAAGAACGAGUGGGAGAGUGGAAAGUUCACACUGUGACGGUAUCUAACCAGAAAGGGACGGCUAACUACGUG
rnacentral:rRNA from 1 species